rnacentral:lncRNA from 1 species
CUGGUCAGUAAAAGAGGUAGAAAGACACCUUUGCUGACAGAGGAAAGGAGAAAGUAGAAAAAGGAAAAGACACAUCUAAGCUGUUCCUCCUGCCCUUCUCAACCAGGCUGAAUGGAGACUGAAUAACAGAGGAUAGAGAUCUCACCAUUUCCUAUCCAGGCAGGCUGUGCCAGGAUAGGAAAGUGCUCCCUUUCAGUGCUCCCUUAUUACUGUCAACCCACUGAAACCAGAAUGGCUGAGAGCAGAGUGUCCCUGCAUAGCCCUUCUCCCGAGGAGUGAGGACACCAGCUAGGUGGGAGAUCAGAGUGCAAGAUGGAAAUCCAGCUCCCGUCUCUGCUGAAAUAUGAAUUCUAAAAUUCUAAAAAAAACAGGUAUUAAUUAAAUAUCUGGCUUAUGAAAUAACAGUCUUUUUUCCAAUGAAGGUGGUCUGCAAUUUAGGCUGAUGUAAAGUAGGUUUAAAUAGGAAUUAAAUUUUUAAAAAGUCAAGGCAGAAUUCAGAGAUCUUAUCAUUGUUUUCUGUGUCAGCACACUACUUCAGUGAGUACAAUUUAAAUACCAAGUCAAUUAAGUGCCAUAAAUUCCUCAGGUGUAACUAAAUCUAGUUAAUUGUGGUGAAGUGCUGCCUAGCUACAUCAAUCAAACGGAUGAAACAUUUGGGGGGAAAAAACAAAAACAAAUCCAAAAAUCAGAAUGGGAUUUAGAAGAAGCUGAUGGAAGAAAAGAAGUACUGCAUUCAAUGCACUAUAAAAAUUCUAGUCUGGGCUGUUGGUUGUUUUUCUAAUUAAAAAUAAAAAAAAGCCAUACUGGCAGAAGUGGUCCAAUGAAGUCUUGGACAAAGCCCUGCUGUGCAAGUGAGGCAUGAGUUCAUCCCAGACCUAGCCAGACUCUACUGUAGAAAAUUAAAAGUUAUUUACCCAUUUCAUUCAGCUUCUGGAUUAUGCCUUUUCUGAUCACAUUAGCUCUUACCUUCUUCUUGCAGGACAAAAUCACUGGCCUGGAGCACAUCACUAAACAGAAAAUUAAUUACAGUUGUCUGCUGGGUGUAGAAUGCUUGUCAAUGGGACUGAAUCCAGUAGUCCCCAUAGAUCUCCAGGCCACUGGACACAGAAACCAACCAAACAACCACACUUUCCUGUUGAAGAAUCCAGGUUUCCUCCUUCAGGAACCAAGGCUGACAAACCUAUUUAAUCUUUCAUAUUGGCACAGUGAUAACUUCUUUUUAAAUAUUUCAUAUUGUUGUACUGAUAAAGAACAUAAGACAAAACUUGGCACGAGCACAGUCCAGAGGAGAAUCUGCUUAAAAAUAAAACACUUGGGAGAAUGGAAGGAAACAAGUAGCCAUGUGGCUGGAAACAAAAUUAAUUUAAGGUAAGCAGGUCAAGCCUAUAAUGAAGUGCUUGUAAACAAAGAAAAUCCAAACAUUUCUACUAAUCAUCAGCUCCAAUUAUUUCACUAACACCCCCUCAUUAGAUGUACUUAGUGGCUUGCAGCUAUUCUUUUUUCUAAACCCAUGUGCUGUCAUCCUUUCUGAGAUGGCUCUAGAGGGCUGAGAUGUAGACAAAUGCAAGGAUUAAUCCAGCAGCCUGGCCAGCCAAGGCACAGAUGCAUUAGGUGGUGGCUGUGGUCCUUUGCAGUGUGUGUGCCACAGUGGCAGAGUAGAAGGUAUAUAUGUAUGGAUUCCAGUAUAUCCAGUACAUAUAUACUGCUGGUACCAAGGGCAUGCCCUUGUU